CUUCCCCAACGCGUCAGAAGAUGGAGGAGACAACGUUCGACGACAGAUAAUUCCGAAGACGGAACACUGGAAGAGAUUCAACUGUUCUAUGAUGAGUGGGAUAAAAGCAAGGGUUUUGAUAUCGACUUCUGGCAACCUUUGGAUCUGGACGACAGUACAAUGGUUCGCGAGCCUCAAACCAACAGAGAUUUUAUCGCCAAGUUGUCCAAUCUGGCUCUCACCAAGCACAACGCAGACAACGGAACAAGGCUUGAAUUGGGCAAGAUUUUGAGGGCAAACUUCCAUCCAUAUGCCGGAAUCACUUUAUACAUCUCUUUCGAAGUCAAUGAUCCGUCUGAUGAUGCUAAUCAGACCAAGCCCUAUAGAGCAGUGGUUCGCUACUUAGCCGGAGAUCUUGAAGUACACUCUUGCAAGCCUAAACCCUCUUUGUGAAUUUUGUUAGAGGUUUGUUGUGGUAUAUCUGCAAGCUCAAGAGGGCAGAAAAGUGUUUGCUUUGUCCUUCAACAUCGAUUUUUGUAUGGUUUGGUGUUGGUGUUUCAUCAUGUCAUUAAUUAGCCAAGUUAUGUAUUUGGGUAGAUAUGAAUAAUUUAGU